rnacentral:rRNA from 1 species
UGGGGAACAGGGAUUGCCCUAGUAACGGCGAGUGAAGCGGCAACAGCUCAAAUUUGAAAUCUGGCCCUUGGGUCCGAGUUGUAAUUUGCAGAGGAUGCUUUUGGUGCGGUGCCUUCCGAGUUCCCUGGAACGGGACGCCAUAGAGGGUGAGAGCCCCGUCCGGUUGGAUGCCUAGCCUCUGUAAAGCUCCUUCGACGAGUCGAGUAGUUUGGGAAUGCUGCUCUAAAUGGGAGGUAUAUGUCUUCUAAAGCUAAAUACCGGCCAGAGACCGAUAGCGCACAAGUAGAGUGAUCGAAAGAUGAAAAGCACUUUGAAAAGAGGGUUAAAUAGUACGUGAAAUUGUUGAAAGGGAAGCGUUUGUGACCAGACUUGGGCUCGGUUAAUCAUCCAGCGUUCUCGCUGGUGCACUUUGCCGGCCCAGGCCAGCAUCAGUUCGUCGCGGGGGAUAAAGGCUUCGGGAACGUGGCUCCCUCGGGAGUGUUAUAGACCGUUGCGUAAUACCCUGCGAUGGACUGAGGUUCGCGCUCUGCAAGGAUGCUGGCGUAAUGGUCAUCAACGACCCGUCUUGAAACACGGACCAAGGAGUCGUCUUCGUAUGCGAGUGUUCGGGUGUCAAACCCCUACGCGUAAUGAAAGUGAACGCAGGUGAGAGCUUCGGCGCAUCAUCGACCGAUCCUGAUGUUCUCGGAUGGAUUUGAGUAAGAGCAUACGGGGCCGGACCCGAAAGAAGGUGAACUAUGCCUGUAUAGGGUGAAGCCAGAGGAAACUCUGGUGGAGGCUCGCAGCGGUUCUGACGUGCAAAUCGAUCGUCAAAUAUGGGCAUGGGGGCGAAAGACUAAUCGAACCUUCUAGUAGCUGGUUUCCGCCGAAUUUUCC